GUGAGGAAUUUUCCGCAAUGGGCGAAAGCCUGACGGAGCAAUGCCGCGUGAAGGAUGAAGGCCUAUGGGUUGUAAACUUCUUUUCUUAGAGAAGAAUAUUUACGGUAUCUGAGGAAUAAGCAUCGGCUAACUCUGUGCCAGCAGCCGCGGUAAGACAGAGGAUGCAAGCGUUAUCCGGAAUGAUUGGGCGUAAAGCGUCUGUAGGUGGCUUCAAAAGUCUCCUGUCAAAUAUCAGGGCUUAACCCUUGGCCGGCAGGAGAAACUCUGAGGCUAGAGUUUGGUAGGGGCAGAGGGAAUUCCCGGUGGAGCGAUGAAAUGCGUAGAGAACGGGAGGAACACCAAAGGCGAAAGCACUCUGCUGGGCCACAACUGACACUGAGAGACGAAAGCGAGGGGAGCAAAAGGGAUUAGAAACCCGGGUAGUCC
rnacentral:rRNA from 1 species